GAGGAAUGAAGGGAAGAAGAAGAAGGAGAAGGUGUGUUUGUCUGGACGGUGGAGGAAUGGGCUAAAACUUAGAAUGAAGUGUUUUUAUAAAAGUUUUAUUUUUAGAACCCUACCCAAUGCUUGGCUGCCACGUGUACACACCUUUGGCUUUAAUUUUACAAGACCUUACAUUCUCCCCAACAACAAAAAUUUUCGUCCUCGAAAAUU
rnacentral:lncRNA from 1 species